UACAGAGGGUGCGAGCGUUGUUCGGAAUUACUGGGCGUAAAGGGCUCGUAGGCGGCCCUCUCAGUCGGAUGUGAAAUCCCCAGGCUCAACUUGGGAACGGCAUCCGAUACUGGAGGGCUUGAAUUCGGGAGAGGGAUGCAGAAUUCCAGGUGUAGCGGUGAAAUGCGUAGAUAUCUGGAGGAAUACCGGUGGCGAAGGCGGCAUCCUGGACCGAGAUUGACGCUGAGGAGCGAAAGCUAGGGGAGCAAACGGG
rnacentral:rRNA from 1 species